rnacentral:lncRNA from 1 species
UCUAUUAUCAAAAACAAAUCAGUAAUAAACCGAACAAUUUACUACCGAUAAUAGCACAGUCAAUCUCUCUCUCUCUCUCUCUCUCUCUCUCUCUCUCUCUCUCUCUCAUAUAUAUAUAUAUAUAUAUAAUUGAGCUAGAAUACUUUUAGAAGUAUUACCCCUUGGUGCUUUUAGGUUUUUAACCCUUGGAUCUACUUUUUGAUUAUUAAUAGCCUUGGAUCAAAUACUAUUCCACCUACCACCACCUACCACCAUCAUCUCAACCUUACAUUUCUCUAUCCAAGGGUUAAAAACUCACAAGCACCAAUCUUUUGGUGCUUUUGAGAGUAUUCUAGCUCAACUCUCUCUCUCUCUCUCUAUAUAUAUAUAUAGAGUCCGGCUAUAGUGCUUGUAAAAGCACCAAGCACUUGGUGCUUGUGAAUUUUUAACCGUUAGAUCUACGUCUGUGAUCAUUUACACCCGUUAGAUUAUACUAUUCAACCAACCAUCCACUCAACCCAAGGAGGCCCGCAUCAUCCUAACCGCACAUCUAUUAAUCCAAGGGCUAAAAACUUACAAGCACCAAUAACUCGGUACUUUUAAAAGCAUAGGAGCUCAAUUAUAUAUAUAUAUAUAUAUAUAUAUAUAGAAUUAGGCUACUAUACUAUCUAUAGUACCGAGCUCCGGUACUAUAGUGUUUGUUUUCGAUCUUAGGGCGUUCAAAUCAACGAUCCACACCGUUAAAUAUGAUCUAGGGUAUAUGAAUUUCUUAGAAAUAAAAUUUUAGUUUUUUUCGAUAUCGUUUACUUAGUAAAUAAAUUAUAUCAAAAUGGACGGUGGAAAUUGAAUAAUCUUUAAAAUUUGAGUAUAGGACUUUUAAAUUCAAGAUCAAGAAUGUUAACCUUAAU